GUCUGUGACAGGAAGUGGGCAAGUUGUUCAGCGCAUUUAGAGCAGGGCGACCAGGAGCAGAACCAGGUCACUGCGUAACACAUUCUCGCACCGUCCACACUGGAGCCCCACAGCCCCGGACACAACGCACCCAAGUGACUUCAUCUUUGCCUCACCUCUACAUGGCAGCCGGAGCGAUUGCGCAGGUGUCCGAAGUCAAAGGACAGGGAAUCAGGACCGGUGCGUCUCUUUACUACAAAACAAAGUCACUCGACUUCACCCUCUCAUGCACUCUGCGGCCAGGGAAAUCACCGCUCCCCAAUGAGCUCCCUCUCAAGUGUAUGUGUGUGUAUGUCUGCAUUCGAACAUCUGGAAGAGAUCUGUCUGCUCCCAUGAUUUACCUUCCGACCACAAGUCUUUCUGAGGUCUUACCACUAUGCGCUAUGUGUGUAUAACAUGGGAAAACAGAGAAAAGAAUAUACUGUAGGUUCUGUUCCCAUUAAAGCUGAUUCUCAUGAUGUUU